CUCUGCCUCUGUGGUGGAUAGUGGAGUGUUUCCCAUGUGGUAUUGGUGUGCUGGAUAUCCCUUCACUGGUAGCCUGAUAACAUAUACUCCCAUGUCUUUCUCUGCCUCUGUGGUGGAUAGUGGAGUGUUUCCCAUGUGGUAUUGGUGUGCUGGAUAUCCCUUCACUGGUAGCCUGGUAACAUACACUCCAAGGUCUUUCUCUGCCUCUGUGGUGGAUAGUGGAGUGUUUCCCAUGUGGUAUUGGUGUGCUGGAUAUCCCUUCACUGGUAGCCUGAUAACAUAUACUCCCAUGUCUUUCUCUGCCUCUGUGGUGGAUAGUGGAGUGUUUCCCAUGUGGUAUUGGUGUGCUGGAUAUCCCUUCACUGGUAGCCUGGUAACAUACACUCCCAGGUCUUUCUCUGCCUCUGUGGUGGAUAGUGGAGUGUUUCCCAUGUGGUAUUGGUGUGCUGGAUAUCCCUUCACUGGUAGCCUGAUAACAUAUACUCCCAUGUCUUUCUCUGCCUCUGUGGUGGAUAGUGGAGUGUUUCCCAUGUGGUAUUGGUGUGCUGGAUAUCCCUUCACUGGUAGCCUGGUAACAUACACUCCCAUGUCUUUCUCUGCCUCUGUGGUGGAUAGUGGAGUGUUUCCCAUGUGGUAUUGGUGUGCUGGAUAUCCCUUCACUGGUAGCCUGGUAACAUACACUCCCAGGUCUUUCUCUGCCUCUGUGGUGGAUAGUGGAGUGUUUCCCAUGUGGUAUUGGUGUGCUGGAUAUCCCUUCACUGGUAGACUGGUAACAUACACUCCCAGGUCUUUCUCUGCCUCUGUGGUGGAUAGUGGAGUGUUUCCCAUGUGGUAUUGGUGUGCUGGAUAUCCCCUCCCAAGCUGCAGGACUUUACAAAUUUUCUUCAUUGAAUUGUAGCCACAGACACCCCACCCCAUUCCUAUAGGUUGGUGAGGUCUUCUGGUAGGAAAUCCACAGUCAAGUGGCUAAUUUUCAAGGUGCAGGGUUAGGAAGGGACGACCCCAAGUGAGGCGAGUUUUGUGUGUAAAGUCCCGCCUAGGAUUGUUAAGGGUUGCCAAGGGGGUUGUAUGGUAACAGGGUUAUCAAGGAGUGACUGAGGGGCCAGGCUUAGAGCUGUAACAUUAUUGUGUUGAAUUUAGGCAACAGUCAAAGGAAUGUAUUGUUUUAUAAGGUAUCAAUAUUUAUACAGCUUAUUAAUCCCUCACUUAAU